UCCGGCUUAACGCCGGCAGUCCUGUUAGAGUGCCCAACUAAAUGCUGGCAACUAACAGCGAGGGUUGCGCUCGUUGCGGGACUUAACCCAACAUUUCACAACACGAGCUGACGACAGCCAUGCAGCACCUGUCACUAGGCUCCCCGAAGGGCACCUCUCUAUCUCUAGAGAGUUCCUAGGAUGUCAAACCUGGGUGAGGUUCUGCGCGUUGCUUCGAAUUAAACCACAUGAUCCACCGCUUGUGCGGGCCCCCGUCAAUUCCUUUGAGUUUUAGCCUUGCGGCCGUAAUCCCCAGGCGGAGCACUUAACGCGUUAGCUACGAUACUGCGAGGGUCAAAACCCGCAACAUCUAGUGCUCAUCGUUUACGGCGUGGACUAC
rnacentral:misc_RNA from 1 species